rnacentral:rRNA from 1 species
UACGGGGGGGACAAGCGUUGUUCGGAAUUACUGGGCGUAAAGGGCUCGUAGGUGGCCAAUUAAGUCAGACGUGAAAUCCCCAGGCUCAACUUGGGAACUGCGUCUGAUACUGGUUGGCUUGAAUUCGGGAGAGGGAUGCAGAAUUCCAGGUGUAGCGGUGAAAUGCGUAGAUAUCUGGAGGAAUACCGGUGGCGAAGGCGGCAUCCUGGACCGAGAUUGACACUGAUGAGCGAAAGCCAGGGGAGCAAACGGG